rnacentral:rRNA from 1 species
CGAAACCAGGUGAUCUACCCAUGUCCAGGAUGAAGGUAAGGUAAUACUUACUGGAGGUCCGAACCCACGCACGUUGAAAAGUGCGGGGAUGAGGUGUGGGUAGCGGAGAAAUUCCAAUCGAACUUGGAGAUAGCUGGUUCUCUCCGAAAUAGCUUUAGGGCUAGCCUCGAGGUAAAGAGUCAUGGAGGUAGAGCACUGUUUGGACUAGGGGCCCUUCUCGGGUUACCGAAUUCAGAUAAACUCCGAAUGCCAUGUACUUAUACUCGGGAGUCAGACUGCGAGUGAUAAGAUCCGUAGUCGAAAGGGAAACAGCCCAGACCACCAGUUAAGGUCCCCAAAUAUAUGUUAAGUGGAAAAGGAUGUGGGGUUGCUUAGACAACCAGGAUGUUGGCUUAGAAGCAGCCACCAUUGAAAGAGUGCGUAAUAGCUCACUGGUCGAGUGACCCCGCGCCGAAAAUGUACCGGGGCUAAACAUAUUACCGAAACUGUGGAUGAACCUCUUUAGAGGUUCGUGGUAGGAGAGCGUUCUAAGGGCGGUGAAGUCAGACCGGAAGGACUGGUGGAGCGCUUAGAAGUGAGAAUGCCGGUAUGAGUAGCGAAAGAAGGGUGAGAAUCCCUUCCACCGAAUAUCUAAGGUUUCCUGAGGAAGGCUCGUCCGCUCAGGGUUAGUCGGGACCUAAGCCGAGGCCGAUAGGCGUAGGCGAUGGACAACAGGUAGAGAUUCCUGUACCAGUGCUAAUUGUUUAACCGAUGGGGUGACACAGAAGGAUAGGGAAUCGCACGAAUGGAAAUGUGCGUCCAAGCAGUGAGUGUGAGAAGUAGGCAAAUCCGCUUCUCGCGAAGCAUGAGCUGUGAUGGGGAAGGAAAUUAAGUACGGAAGUUCCUGAUUUCACGCUGUCAAGAAAAGCCUCUAGGAAGAGUAGUACUGCCCGUACCGCAAACCGACACAGGUAGAUGAGGAGAGAAUCCUAAGGUGAGCGAGAGAACUCUCGUUAAGGAACUCGGCAAAAUGACCCCGUAACUUCGGGAGAAGGGGUGCUCUAUUAGGGUGCAAGCCCGAGAGAGCCGCAGUGAAUAGGCCCAGGCGACUGUUUAGCAAAAACACAGGUCUCUGCAAAACCGUAAGGUGACGUAUAGGGGCUGACGCCUGCCCGGUGCUGGAAGGUUAAGAGGAGUGCUUAGCUUCGGCGAAGGUACGAAUUGAAGCCCCAGUAAACGGCGGCCGUAACUAUAACGGUCCUAAGGUAGCGAAAUUCCUUGUCGGGUAAGUUCCGACCCGCACGAAAGGCGCAACGAUCUGGGCACUGUCUCAACGAGAGACUCGGUGAAAUUAUAGUACCUGUGAAGAUGCAGGUUACCCGCGACAGGACGGAAAGACCCCGUGGAGCUUUACUGCAACCUGAUAUGGAAUGUUUGUACCGCUUGUACAGGAUAGGUAGGAGCCGAAGAGACGUGUGCGCUAGCAUACGAGGAGGCAAUGGUGGGAUACUACCCUGGCUGUAUGACCAUUCUAACCCGCCACGCUUAGCGCGUGGGGAGACAGUGUCAGGUGGGCAGUUUGACUGGGGCGGUCGCCUCCUAAAGAGUAACGGAGGCGCCCAAAGGUUCCCUCAGAAUGGAUGGAAAUCAUUCGCAGAGUGUAAAGGCACAAGGGAGCUUGACUGCGAGACUGACAAGUCGAGCAGGGACGAAAGUCGGGCUUAGUGAUCCGGUGGUUCCGCAUGGAAGGGCCAUCGCUCAACGGAUAAAAGCUACCCCGGGGAUAACAGGCUUAUCUCCCCCAAGAGUCCACAUCGACGGGGAGGUUUGGCACCUCGAUGUCGGCUCGUCGCAUCCUGGGGCUGUAGUCGGUCCCAAGGGUUGGGCUGUUCGCCCAUUAAAGCGGCACGCGAGCUGGGUUCAGAACGUCGUGAGACAGUUCGGUCCCUAUCCGUCGCGGGCGCAGGAAAUUUGAGAGGAGCUGUCCUUAGUACGAGAGGACCGGGAUGGACACACCGCUGGUGUACCAGUUGUUCCGCCAGGAGCAUCGCUGGGUAGCUAUGUGUGGCAGGGAUAAACGCUGAAAGCAUCUAAGCGUGAAGCCCCCCUCAAGAUGAGAUUUCCCAUUUCUUCGGAAAGUAAGAUCCCUGAAAGAUGAUCAGGUAGAUAGGUUUGGAGUGGAAGUGUAGCGAUACAUGGAGCGGACAAAUACUAAUCGAUCGAGGACUUAACCAA